GUCGAGUUCCGGUUCCGCCAAGUAUGAGAUCAACGGAUGUAAUAACGGCGGGGCCUUUUCUGGAAGAUAUGUUUUUGUGGUUAGAUCCAGUGAAUAUCUACAUUUUGGCGAAUUUGAAGUUUAUGCCGAGUACUCUAAUGUGGCACUUAACAAACCCCCGGUUAUCAGUAGUACAGUUUGGGGUCCAGAUGGUUACACUAAUGGGAACGAUGGUGAUUAUAGAACCAUAACAACGGCCAAGGGUUCCACUGCAUGGUGGUGUGUCAAUCUAAAGACGCUUUUUAAUAUAGAAAAAAUUAUAAUCAAUAAUAAAGACACAGAUCACACUAUGAACAACCUAAACGGCUUCAGGAUUAACCUGGGCUAUACUGAUGAUUGUACUGCUUUUAGUUCAUCGACCCCCUGCUACCGUGAUUCAACCGGGGUUCAGAGGACAUAUACAGUAUCUGGUUGUAACCAGGGUAAGAUUGAAUUUGCCGGUCAGACAGUUUUCAUCUCCAACCCAAAUCUCAUAUCCUUUCGAGAAAUGCAGGUUUUGAUAAAAGAGCCCACAAAUCUUGCCCAUGGAAAAGGUAUUGUACAGUCGAGCACUGCUGGCAACCUGGCUGCAGAUUUAGCGAUAGAUAGUGAUCGUGCCACGUGUAGUAGUACGAAUAGCGAGGCAGCCGCUUGGUUGUGUGUUGAUCUAGAGAGGUACUACGAAAUUAGCAUCAUUUCCUUAGCUCAACAAUCCCAAGCAUUUGAAGUAAGGUUGGGCACAGAGAGUAGUUGCAGUGCUGAAGGCUUCAAAUCCUCGGUCUUAUGUUCAAGUGAAGCAGCUUCUGAAAAUGUCUUUAUCGGUAAAUGCUCGUCUAGCACAGUACCGCUUGCAGCCAGAUCAGUUUAUUUGGUAGCAAGGAAUAAUAAAAUAGCAGUCUGUGAUCUCAAAAUCAAUGGAGAUGAGAUCUUUAGUGAUUGUUUUGCAGCUUAGUAAAUUUAAACUGUUGGGAACUGACCAAACAUAUGCAUAUUAAAGUUGAGAUUUAACAAAACUCCUGAGAUCUAUACUAAAUAUAAGUUCAC